UGCGUGGGAGAAGGGCUGCUUUUCAAGGACGUAUUUACUUUACUCUCUGUUUUCUCAACGGUGUAUAUAACUCAAUACUAAAAGGCUAAUUUGUUUAAGAAAACCAAACCUGACUUCUUCAGUUAAUUGCUUGCAGAAAAGGCAAGGAGGCUAUGGCAGAGUUGCUUUCUGAAGAAAGGCAGAAAUGCUGUACCAAACAGGAAUAUCCACUAUUAUAUUCCCAGCAAUCUGGUGGUCAUCAGUGCCUUGCUGAUAAACUGGAAAUCCUCACCUUCUUCUAUCCUCACCUCUCAAAUGACCCAUGAAAGAGUCUUGGAGAUCAAAGAAAUCCUCUUCCAUCCUUAUCCUUCGGACAGAAAAACUGAUGGGAUUUAGCACCCAUGUGGGAAUAUGAGCAUUGAUUUCAAGAACAAAGAAGCAACGACCUUUUGUCUGCUGCUGUCAUUCCCUGCUUCACCAUUAAG